AAAAUAUUUAAAACUCCAAGAAUGAAUGAGAACAAAACCCACCGACAGCUGUGGCCCGAAGGGAGUGCCCUCCGAAGAAAAGACUACAAAAUUUUUAGUUCCCCGCCACAUUUUUGCUUGCGGUUCGUAGCUAUUCGCCUGUUGGAAACAUUCGUCAAUUUGAGUUACGUUGGAAUUCCUGCGCUGAAAUGACGAUCGGCAAUCAUUGUGAAGUACUGCCACGAAACCUGACGUCGACGGCGCGGCACAGUGUUUAGAGCACAGUAAUUGGGAUUUGGAAAACUAUAUGAUGACCGUUACGACUUAAGCUGUCGCCAAAUGGUUUUUUAAUUAUUAAAUUAUUAAUUAAUUAUCCCGAAGCAUUUUUUCAGAUGUGGAAAUUCCAUUUGGAAGAAAGCGUGAAAAGGUUUCCGCGCAUGUAAAAGGAUGCUAGGUGCAGGGAAUCACCGAUGGAGCUUAUAACAACUUCACCGCCUGAUGACGGAGUGAGCCUGGAAUCUAUUACGCGGAACUAGAUUUCCGACAACCUUUCAAGCUUCCAGGCUGAAGUUAGAAAAGCUGCCGCUAUAGCUAACUACUUAUGAGACCAAGCUUAAAAAAUAAAGUAAUAAUAUAAACGUCCACAGUCAAGCGGCAAUUAGGACAUUAACCUCGCAUCGUUUUGUUUCAAAAAAUAUUAGAAACGAAAAUGCAGUACACGUGAUAGCUGCAGAAAAGCAUCUGCAUAUUUACAGGGUUCCAGGCCACAAGGCAUUGUGAAAAACCAAAAAUUAUGAUAAUAACUCCAAAAACGUCAUUCGUCUAGCUAAAGAAAUACGUAGUUCGCUAAUGGAAGGGUUUGAAAGAUGGAUGCGUGUGAAAUGGAAUGUCGAAAUUGCAUUUAUGAUCGACAAAAGUGUUCAAGUGCAAGAGCACCGAAGAAUAACGUGCAGAUUUUUUUUGCUUAUGGCGUCUUGAAACGAUUGCCGGGUCAUUAUGACACAUGCAGGAAGCGCAUCCUUCCUCUUCUUUUUCCUUUAUUUCUCUUCGGCCUUAUCUAGAACUGGACUUAGAUAUCUAGGACUAUAUGAAGAUAAAAAAUAGAUAUCCAGGCUGUACUAAACUUCACAAAAAGAGUUGACGUCCUGAAUGACGACUGCUUCAGCUCGUACAAAAUGGAUCCUCCAUCAGGCAUUACAAAGGAAGUGUAUGGUGUGAAAACCUUAAUGUUGAUUUCUUAUAUUUAAUUUAAAUUCAAUUCCUUUGUUAUUUGU